AACUUUUUGUUACCAACAAACCAUCUAUCAUUUCUCCACAAUCGGUAUAGUAUGGUCCUUUUUUGUAGAUGCCCCCCCCCCCACCCCGCUGACAAAUUCUUCAAAAAUGUCCUGCUUAGAAACACUAGUCACUAGACAUGCAGUUAUUGUUUACCUAUGUCUGCUGAUCUGUAGAAUUCAGUAUAGAACACUAUACAUUUAUCGAGUAUAUCUGUAGUAUUACAUGUUAAUUGUUUCAGUGUGGGUAUUAAAUUGGGAAAUUCGAAAUAUAUAAUAGCUUCGGGUUUCAGGAACUUUACGAUACUUCACGUAUUUAUAGGACACUGUCUUUAAAAUAUGCGAAAGUCAAAUAUAAACUAUAAAUUGCCUGAAUCUCAUGAUUUUCCUAGAAAAAGCAUCGUUGGAAAUGUGAUUUAUCACGUAGUAUUUUACAACUAAAAGGGCACUUCUCCCCCCCCCCCCCACUAGCAAAAGGCAAGGGGGGCAGCCGCUCCCCCUGCCCCCCCCCCCCAGUUCCAGCGUCCCUGUAUAAAUUUAUGCUAUUUUACUCACAUGUUGCUCGUACUGCGUAACAUUUUCUCUUUGUCCCACAGUCGCCAGAAGUCAACAGCACGUUCCCCUCUUUAUGUACGUACACGAACGACUAGCUUCUAUUUUCUUCCUAUUUCAUGCUCGAUAAUAAAUCUCUCCUGCAUUUUUCUUUCCCUCUCAGAUCUUUUUUCUCUUUAAAACAUCCCUGUAUAUCUCUCUCGCUCUUUCUUGUUUAAUUAUUUUUAGUCUUUUACGACGAAUUCCUCGAUCGUGUUCGGCCUGGAAAGCCGACCUAGCUUCGAAAGUAUAUGCUCGCUCUGUCUCGCUGGUUGCACUGAGAUUUCUCCCAGAUCGUGACGUAUCCCACCAUUAGCAAGUGCGCCACUCGCUGUGUGGAAUGUCGUGUUAAAAUGCGCCAUUUCAACUGACUUUACGUAAGCUCAUACGACCAGACGAAACAGAGAAAAAGCAUAUUAUUUCUUGAGAUUUGCCGUCCUUGCUUCCUGAUCGAUGAUCAAGUGCAAAUUCCCGCGCGCGCGCUUUGUUUACAUAUUGCUGCACAAAUAUUACCUUCCCCUCCCUCCCUCAGGCAGGUCAAACAAUUGUCUGUUCGCUUGCUGUAUAUUUUGCAGUACUGGAAUGGAAAAUUUUGACCAAAUAUAACUGUUAUUUCUAUCUGCAGUUGUGCAGGUAACGUCAAUUUUACGGAUGAUGGUAUAUUAGUGUUCUACUGAGCGAAUUUUUGGCCAGAUGUUGCUCGUCGAAACCAGUUUAGACCCCGUGAAAGUAUACGUGUAAUUUGAGUUAUUUUACAAACAGGAUGGCAUUCCCGUUGUGCGUAUAUGUAUACUCGUCCAAUCGGAAGAUAUUUCGUUAAUUCCCACUCAAUUUUGGAUUUUUAUGAUGAGGUUUAACCGUCACUAUCGUUCAAGGUUCACAAACAGGGUUUUCGUCCAUCCAAAGUACAUUUGAGUUACUGAGCUAAACUUCAGCAAGUCUCGUAUGGUAAUAUAAAUAUGGCUGUGUCGUUAUCUGACCAAUAUGUCCUGUUUAUAUACUACAAAACGUCGGCCAGGAGAACAGGCUCUUACGAAAACAGUUAAUAUUAAAGACGACUAUAAACGAGACGAAGUUGUCCAUCGAAGAUACUGUACGAAGGUUGAUAAAAUGGACAAUUUGUCAAACAGAACUGCGAGACACUUUGCCAAAGCUAUGCAGGGUAAGCAUUUGUACUUAUAUCUGAUAAAUUGUGUAUACAUGUCAUUUCAAUGGUAUAGAACGCUCUGAUUUAAUGAAAGUUUAGGCUCCUAAAAUAAUUGCGCCAAAUAUUCAAAGGCUAAUUCAAGAUUGCUGAACUCAGUCAUAGAUGCUGUUUAAUAAUUUAUUACAUGUAAAUCACUGCUAAAAAUACUACAGUAUAUACCCCAUUUACUGUAUAUAUAUUAUAGAACCCUUGUCUCUGCCCUUGGCAG